rnacentral:misc_RNA from 1 species
GAGAACGUAGCGAAAUGCGAUAAGUAGUGUGAAUUGCAGAAUUCAGUGAAUCAUCGAAUCUUUGAACGCACAUUGCGCCCCAUGGUAUUCCGUGGGGCAUGCCUGUUCGAGCGUCAUUUACCCCCUCAAGCUCCGCUUGGUGUUGGGCGUCUGUCCCGCUUCGCGCGCGGACUCGCCCCAAAGGUAUUGGCAGCGGUCGUGCCAGCUUCUCGCGCAGCACAUUGCGCUUCUCGAGGCACCGGUGGGCCCGCGUCCAUCAAGCUCACCCCCCCAGUUUGACCUCGGAUCAGGUAGGGAUACCCGCUGAACUUAAGCAUAUCAAUAAGCGGAGGA